ensembl:lncRNA
CUUUUGCACACCGUUUCCUUUCAGGACUUGUGGUUUGUGUACAAGCAUCCACGGUCAGAGGCUGCAGACAUGCUUUCUCAGGCUGUCUUUGAUUUUCUGCUCUCUCUCUCUCUCUCUCUCUCUCUCUCUCUCUCUCUCUCUCUCUCUCCUACAAAUAAAUGAGGACCUGAUUUCCCAAGAGAUCUGGGUCUCUUUCUUCUUCCUGCAGCUCUGUCUACAGUGGUCUGGAGCCAGUUAAAGUGGGCCCUUCUCACUGUCUAAUCCCAGGACCAGGACCAGGUGGUAUGCUCGUCAUAUGAGGAGUAUCUGCAGAGGAGGAUGAUGGGAAUAUGCUCAAAGGAUGCCCAGAGCAGUCUUGAAAUGGCCCUCAGAGUCUGUGGCUUCAUCUUCUUAUAUCUUCACUGGUGAAGAGUCUUUAUCCUUUGAGAUUGGAUUUGAUGCUUUGAUAAUACCUAAAGCUCAUUCAGAAAAAAGCCUGGAGAGUACAGCUGAAGGCCAGGCUGGGUAUAGCACUGAUGAAAUCAGAACAGAAGGACAGCAGCAGAGCACAAAAGGCAGUGUGAGACACCAGAUCUCUACAGGCGAAUACUGAACUGGUAUUGAGAAGAGGAAUGCCAUUCUGAGAAAUACCUUCAACAGUCUCCACCUUGUAACUAGCUCAGAUCUAUUCCUGGAUUUCUCCUUUUCAAAAAUGAUCAGGCCAAGCUGGGCAUGGUGGCUCAGGCCUGUAAUCAGGCACUUUGGGAGGCUGAGACCGGUGGAUCACUUGGGUCAGGAGUUCAAGACCAGCCUGGCCAACAUGAUGAAACUCGGUCUCUACUAAAAAUACAAAAGAAAUUAGCCAGAUGUGGUGGCAGGUGCCUGUAAUCUCAGCUACUCAGGAGGCUGAGGUAUGAGAAUCACUUGAAUCUGGGAGGCAGAGGUUGCAGUGAGCCGAGAUCAUGCCACUGCACUCCAGCCUGGGCGACAGAGUGAGACUCCAUCACAAAAAAAAUAUAUAUAUAUAUAUCAAGCAGGAACUUGUCAUCACCAAGGCAUGUAAAGAGAACUAGUGGAAGAUUUUCAGGUAGUUUCCAAAAGCUCAGAACUCUGCCUGCCCGUGGAAGCUGCCCUGUCUGUUACCGGAAGUUGCAACAUCCUUGACACCCUUCUUCUUCAGUCCCUUCUGUCUCAGCCAUCUUGGCAUGGACUCUUUAAACAAUGUAAGAAACAGAAGCCAUUUGCUUGAGUCCCUCAAUCCAUUUCCUGUGGGUCCAACCAGAUUUUUUUCACACUGAAGGGAAGGACUAAGUGACUGAACAUGGCUGGCCCCCACUACCACAACUGAUGUCUUUAAGACAGUCACUCAGAGGCAAGACCUGGAGAAGAAUCUCUCUGCAUUACUCAGCUACGGAUGAACAGAUAGUGAAAGAAAACACCAGAAAGAAAUAUUUUCUCUCAGAUCUUAGGAAAAUAUUACAAACCACUUCACACAAACAUAAACUUGUUAACAUUCUCAUUUAAAGGUAAUCCUAUCAUGAUUCUCUCCUAUUAGUCCCUCAAUAAAACGUCUAUGGUGAGUGUCAGAAAGCUCUGACUCUGACUUAGCAUUGAUUGCCUAUUCUACUCUACUUAUGAAGGUUCACGUGAUUAAAAAGGGUUUUCUCUUCAUUUGAAGCUAUUGAUGUUAUCAAAUGGGACACUGCAGGAAAAAAAAGCGCAGCGCUAUUCUCAAAAUAAAUGUUUACAGGCAACGGAAGAAUAUUUCUUGGAGAGAAAGAUAGGGAUUUGUUAUUUAACAGAGGAAAGCAGAUCAAGUUGGAGAAUUUAAGAGGCAACACCAAACAGAAUGAGAGACUUGGCUGCAACUCUUGGCCACUCAUGUUAUACAACCUCAGAUAUGUCAUUCAACUUCUCUAAGCCUUAGUUUCCUUGUCUGAAAAAUGGAAAUAACAAUGCAGUCUCUGGCUGGGCAUGGUGGCUUACCUCAGCAAUCCCAGCAUUUUGGGAGCUGAGGUGGAUGAACCACUUGAGGUCAGGAGUUCAAGACCAGCCUGCCCAACAUAGUGAGACCCUGUCUCUACUAAAAAUACAAAAAUUGGCCUAGUAUGGUGGUGCACGCCUGCAGUCCCAGCUACUCAAGAAGUUGAAUCAGGAGAAUUACUUGAACCUGGGAGGUGGAGGUUACAGUGAGCUGAGAUAGCGCCAUUACACUCCAGUCUGGGUGACAGAGCAGGACUCCAUUUCGGAAAAAAAAGUACAAUCUCAAUGGCUGUUUAGAGAAAUCAUGGAGUAACAUCCACAAACCCGAAAUCCCCUAAAGUAUGAAGCUAUAAUGUGUGUUUGUUAAAUGUUAGAGGAAAACAUGGAAAUGUUAUGGUAUUCAUCACUUCAACAAUGAGAUGAGUUAAAUUUUAUCUCAGAGAGAUUAAACAUCUACACUCCUUCUCUGUCCAUCCCUGAUCUGCCCCAUUACUAAACAAUUUCCAAAACUAACCUUCUCUCCUUCCCCCACAGCAGUUCUGAAGGCCCUGUGGGUCUACUCCAUAGACCCUAGUGGCAGAAUUCUACCAACCAGCCAUGGCAGUACUGUUCAGGAGAGAAGGUAGGGGAGGAAACGCUGGGGAAAGCUACUUUUCUAUAUUUUUAUAAAAGUCUUCAGCACCCAUCAUUGAAGGUCAAGGCACUGACAGCAGGUGAUAUACUAUUAGUGCUGGAUAGAAAAGAAAAAAAUGGCCCAAUGGUCACCCUACAGAAAGAAACAUUCCUAAAGGCAAAAUCUGAGCUUUUUAAGUAGCAUUUUUCAUAAUUAUAUCACUUUAAAUAUGAUUCUUUCCAGGUCAACAAAGUCUCUACCCCAUUCCUUUUGAGCUUAUUGUUAGACUGUUCUGGGAAUAAACAUCUAGGCAUAAGUCAAUUCUUUGCAUUUCUGAGUAAUCAAAAUUUUACAUUUCUUUUAAUUUUUAAAACUACGAAGUCAUUGCUAAUUUUAAAAAUAAGAAUAAAAUAAAUACACUCAUAUUCACCACCAUCCAUAUUUUUUCACCAUCCUAAAUUCUAAAUUUAGAUAUUUAGAAACAUCUAAAUUAGAUCACCAUAUUUUGCUUGAUCUAAUUUAGAUGUUUCUAAAUAUAAAAAUAAAACCUCAGCCGGACACAGUGGCUCACACCUGUAAUCCCAGCACUUAGGGAGGCUGAGGCAGGUGGAUCACUUGAGAUCAGAAGUUCGAGACUGGCCUGCCAACAUGGUGAAACCUUGUCUUUACAUAUUUACCAACCUAAUGAAAAGUAAGAUAGUGCAAGUCUACCUGACCUUGAGCUGGCUCAUAAACAGAAGGGCUGGCAUCAUGCCCAGUGUUGGCACCACCAAGAACAAAGUCACUCCUUGGGGAGGCCAUUCAGAGCUUGUCAGGAAACCUACACUCCUCUGUGGCUCUCUCACAAGCCUGUCCCUUUUGUGGCCAGUGUGAGGAAAACUGGUCAGAAGGUAUUUACAAAGGCUCUUGUCAAUAAUCCCAAGGCUCCCUUGCCUGCUUCUUGCACGAAUAAAGAUAUCAGAAAUCCCCACUGUCUCAGCCCUGAAACAGCCUUUUUGGUUAAAGGAAGCCUCCAUACUUUAGUUUGAUACUAUCCAAUAGUCACAGCUGACUUAGGUAUUUCAGAGCUUUGCAACCUUGAGAAAUCUAUAAAAAUGGAGUACAUCUCAUUUUAAAAACAAAAGCAAGGGAUAAUUUCAAUUAAGCAACUUUAAAAAAAAUGCAAGGGCAUACCUCAAAGACUACAGAGGAAGAUCGCAGAAUAUGAAAGAAGGAAGUAAAUCUCUUCAUAGAUUCCCAAAAUACUCCCAAUGUAUUCAUAUCCCUUUGCAUUAAAUCAUCUGAAAAAUUCUUUCACAUUAAGAAUCUCACUUAAAACUUAGGUAGAACUGAUGAUUCCCAUUUUAUGGAAGACGAAACUGUGGUUCAGAGUGGUUAUGUAACCAGAGUGCGAGACAGGGCGAUUUAAGCUCAAAGAAAGAGAAACUCCAAGCCACAUAACUUGCAGGAUUUCCCAGAAAUACUGAGAGUGUUCUCCUACUUGAUCACCAAAGUAAGCAACUUUUCUUAUGUAUCUCUGCCUGCCCAGAGCCUGAUGGUUAGCUCAGAAAAUGUUUGGUGAUUUAAUGAAUUAUUUUAGCGACUGUAUCCUUAGCCAGGCUCUAAAAGUCAUUCCUUUGUUUUAAGGCUUUUGGUUGAUCCUCCCAGACAGUCUCUUCUCAGGGUUUGACUCCCAGCAAAUCAUUCGCUACUGGACAGGAAUCCAAUGAGCCCUCUUCUCUCUUUCCCGUAUGGGACUCAAUUCAGCAAUAUCUAAUCUUUCAAAAUAUCUCACAUUGCAUCUCAGAGACAUGUCCUUUGAGAUAUGAAUAGUCAACUAAGUCAGGCCAUCAGAAUGUUGUAAUACUAUGGCAUUAACAGGUAGGCAAUUAGAUGAGUCACUGGGCUAUUACUGGCUGACAUCUGAGCUCCUUUGCCUGAUCAUCAGGUCCUGGCUGGGUGGUAGUUAUACAUAACUGAAAGUCAGCUGCAAGAUAACUUCUUGGCUUGCCUGUAAGAAAUCCCUUCCUGUUGGAUGGGUCCAUGAAGCUGCUUUUCUGUAUGUGAAACCUGGCGCAGGAGAGAGAUAUGAUCUCAGUUCCUUCCUCCAGG